rnacentral:rRNA from 1 species
AACGAACGCUGGCGGCAUGCCUAACACAUGCAAGUCGAACGAGACCUUCGGGUCUAGUGGCGCACGUGUGCGUAACGCGUGGGAACCUGCCCGUAGGUUCGGAAUAACUCCCCGAAAGGGGUGCUAAUACCGGAUAAUGUCUUCGGACCAAAGAUUUAUCGCCUUUGGAUGGGCCCGCGUUGGAUUAGCUAGUUGGUAGGGUAAAAGCCUACCAAGGCGACGAUCCAUAGCUGGUCUGAGAGGAUGAUCAGCCACACUGGGACUGAGACACGGCCCAGACUCCUACGGGAGGCAGCAGUGGGGAAUAUUGGACAAUGGGCGAAAGCCUGAUCCAGCCAUGCCGCGUGAGUGAUGAAGGCCUUAGGGUUGUAAAGCUCUUUUACACGGGAUGAUAAUGACAGUACCGGGAGAAUAAGCUCCGGCUAACUCCGUG